rnacentral:misc_RNA from 1 species
AGCCUAAAAUAUCUAUAUAAUAGAUAGGAUGCAGAUUUUCUCUAGCAUUUAUAAGCAACAAGUAAAUUGGUUCUUUCUUCAUCUCUCAGAUAUAAUGCAUAUUUUCCUGGGGGUAAUGAAAUUGAAAUAGCCUACAAGAUGACCGCUAAUUUUUCAAGCGUUUGUUGCGAAGCCUUACAAUGCGCACCUUUAUCAUGUGACUUCGUUCAUGUGUUUUGCGGUCAAGGCCAGUUUUCGACCAGUCCGUUACCAUGGGAAGCUGCCGGUGUCAGUGUCAAUCCGAUGAUGAGGUGUUUUGGAAACUCCGCUGAAACAUUUUACAGUUAUACUGCGGCCGUAGUGCAACAAUCAUAACGGAACAUUGAAUUUUAAAAAUGGAUAAUAUAGUUUCAUAAGCCUUUCCACAUAAGACUGCUGUUGAUGAUUUGUGCAUAAUUAAUUUGGUUGGCUCUCUUUCCAUGUGUUCAUACGGUGUUUAAGAAUUGUGAUGUGAAUGUGAAUUGUUCAGUGGGAACAUAUAACUUCCGAAAAAAUUCGGGGUAUAUAAAAACAAAACAUAAGCUUGAAGACAUAUCACAAUAUGUAGCACUGUAUAGUAGCAAACUUUUUUAUUCCACUACGGAACUCAACAAUAAGCAAAUAUUUAUUUUGAUGUCAUAUAUAUUUUGGCGCUGCGAGUAACAUAAUAUAAUGUAACAGUAAUUAAUAUACAUCUGUGCAAGAUAUACGAUUAGUAUUUUAGUACUGUUUUCACUUCUGUUAACUUUCUUUCACUGCUUUCUUUUUCUAUGUUAAAAUUUUUCACAAAUUCUGUAACAUUUAGUUUUAUGUAUCAAGCGUAUAAUAGCUACAUUUCUUGAAAAGUUUAUUUAGACAAGGGGAGAGUAUUUUCCUAAUCGCUGCUAGAACUUGUUACCUAACCCUUUUGCAUAUUGUUUAUUUUGAAGAUUGUAGAGGUGAAUUUGUAUGUAUGGAUAUGCACUAAACUAUGUUUAAACUAGUUGUUGGCUAACCUUAAUAAAAAGAAGUUCUGUACUAAAGUGUAUGCUAUAAAGCAUUAAUUUUGAUCCUUCCAUCUGCCUUUAAGAAUUUAGCAUUUUCUUUGUUCCAAUAUUAAAUGGCCGCAUGAACAAGGCGGCAGACUCGAUGUUCGAAGCCAAAAACUUGACAAAAAGGAAAUUUACGUGAAACUACAAAUUCAUACUUAUUGUGUUAGGCGGCUGUACACAUUUGUCUCCAACGAAUUCGGUAUAUUAAGUUUACGAGAUGAUUACCAACGACAGGUAAACGAUCUACUGCGACAGUCAUGAAGUAUUUAACAUGAAAAGGUUCCUAAUAUAAACAACAAUAAUACAAUGUAGAAAACAUUCGUUGAUGAUGAUGGGGAAAUGAAUGAAGCCAACUGUCUUAUUAGGAAUAUUUUUAAAGUUCGGUUAAGUUUUAAGCAUUUCGCCAUUAGUUCAUUAGUAAGUAAAUUAAGUACUAUUUAAAACAGUUGUCAAGGCUAUCACCUAUCACAGAAAUUAUAUAUACUCCUUCUUCGAAUAUAACGAAAACAUCACAUUUUACUUUUGUUUAUUCAAGAACAAUUCCGAAAGGACGGUUCAAACUUCAAUUAUACUUAGUAUCCCCCAUUAAAAUAUUUAGCGCAAAGGAAAUUUGUUCACGACACAAUGAACGGGCCCUUCAACAUUUUCAUUUUUGUCGUGUUAAACGACCUGUGUAGUUUCCACUUUUUCAAUUGGAUUACUAUGAUGAAGACAUAAAACUCCUGGACGCUUUUAACGUUAAAAGCAAUGAAAGUGUCUUCAUUGUCAAAUAAGUUCAUAUUUUGUUUGUCGCGAGAUUCAGUUCGAUUUCACUGUAUGAAGUACGAGCCUCAUGAUAAGAUUGUUGGAAGAACAACAAUCCGUCUUAUUUUGAAUUAAAACACAAAAUGACUUCUACCCACGUAUUCGGUUGUCGUCAUUGCAUUGAUUUGUAAUCAAAAAAAUUAAAUGACCAGGUAACUUUUCAUGUUAACAUUACAACAUUAUUGUAUGGUUAUCCUGUGUUGGAGGUUUAGAUAUAUUCAUUUAUAUUGAGAUCAAAAAAGCAAUAACUGAAGUUAGGUUUAAAGCAAAGUCUAUGAUUAGACAAGUUUAAAUUUUAAUUUCCUAUUUCUUACACUGUUACCAAGAGUGACCUUUAAGUUUCUACUUGUGCACUUUCUAGGAAAACAUGACAAUGCCUUGUAAGCUGUAGACUGUCAGACUAAUUUAUGCAAAUAAAAUUCAACGUUAGUUUGCUCUUAAAAUAUGGCGCAUAGGUUUGAUGUCAUCUAUUUUUAGUUUGUGUUUCUGAACUUUACAUGUCCUUUGCAGACUGUCUGAAGCAAUACAUGUGCAUUUAAAUUAGGUUGCAUCUUUUGAUAACGUUUCACUUAUGCUCUGAGAGCAUUUUUCAGAAAGUAUGUGCGCCUGACAUUGAAGAAUUAAAAGGAAAUCUUAACGUUUUUCUUUGUUAUCUCAACUUCUUUACAACGAGACGUUGUAUUUUUGUGCGUACUUAUCUCUUAUCAUACACAGAGCGAGUGUACAUAUGAAAGCAUAUAAUAUUAUGUUUAGUUUCCUUACAUUCAUCUCAAUCAAGCCUAAAAUACAACAAUUCACUUAGUUCGUGCAUAAUACGGACAUAUUCAUGACAUUUUAAUUGAUAUAUAAAGAUAAAGAUACUUGGUAUUGCAUGCUCUUGUUUAUACAGCCACAUUGUUUUUAUACAGAAAAUGUUGAAUGGAGGAUACUCGUGCUAUAUGCACACUUUCAUUUAUCGAGGAUUCUUAAGAGUACCGAGAUUAGCCAAGGAGCCACAUUUGGAGUUAUUCAUUUAUAUGUCCAGAUACUCUCUGAUAUUCCCCUACAAACAUGAUAACGACUACAAUUUAAGAUUUGUACUAGCAUUCAAUUAAACGUAAUCAAAGCGCAUAAUAUCCGUUCAACAGUAUUUUAACUUGCAUGAAACUUUGUUAUUACCACAAGGAAACAUUCGGGAACUGACCUUUCUUAAGCCUAUGUUAGCAAUAAAAUUUUUCUUUUAUGGCGCAUUAAUACAAAGGAAAGGCGUCUACUUGCAGGGUAAUCAUUCUUGAACAAAAUUAAACACUGAAUAAAUUGUGCAGUAUGUGCAGAUUUUAUGCAGUAUUCAAAUAUGCAACAGUUUUGAUUACCAAUCGUGACACUUCUUUGCUGCAAAUGAUACAUAUAUGUUUCUUUAAUGUAUUUAAGCCGGUAAAUCCGUAAUACGUUUGCCACUUUAUGUUUAGAUAUUGUGCCAGACAGAACAAUGUUAGUGCUGUUGUGCCUUAUAGCUACUGUCCUACCUUGGACCGUUGUUGAAGGCAUGAGAAGUUGCUGGGCCGACUCAAGAGGCCCCGGGGAAGUAUGUCGAUUUGGUACUGUUGUGAAAGGAGGUGACGAAAUGGAGAUUAGCUAUAACUUCACCUUUCCGUUUUCUCAGAUUUGUUGUCAGGCAUUGAGCUGCACGAACACUAAAUGUAGUUUUAUGCGUGUCGGGUGUCAUACGAAUGGUAACAUAGUUCCAAUCCAGACAGCACCACUGCCUUGGGAAGUCCCAAACACAGAGCCAAUGAUGAGAUGUUAUGAACCACCUGGUAUGGGCACUGUUUUUAGAUUUUCGGCGGCACUGGUACCAGAAUCAUAAUCUCAUUAUAAUGGUUUUGAACAUCUGAGGAAAUUUUAUUAAAAAGCUGUAAAUGUUUUAUUAUUUACUCUUUUACUAAUAAAUGUUGCUUUUUAUUAUUCAAAUUGAUGAGAAACUAUUGCAUUAAAAUAUCUAUAUUGGAUUUCUUUGCUAUGUAAACGUUGCCAAAUUUAAAUAAAGAUCUGAAUAUGUCAAUGUUGUGUUGCUAUUUGAUAUGUAACCUUCUUCCAAAUUUAUAUUGAUAUUUUAAGAAGAAAACAUUUUUGUGGUGUAAUAUUUACUAUUAAAUGCCAUAACGGUGUUUCACCGGAAUGGAUUUAUUGUUUGCACCCUGUGGUAACUUUAAAAAUAUAAAAUAUUUUUCAUGAAACUUAGUAAUAUGAAAGUAUGUAUGUUCUUUUAUUUUGUUGCUAUAUCAAAACAAACGUUAAGAUGUGAAAAAAAUGUAAAUUUUGUGAUAAUUUCAAAGGAACACGAAACUUGGUAAAGCAUAGUCAGUUGAAGUGUAACUUCAAUCCCUGUGAAGUCAGAUUGUACACGAAAACAAUUAAGAAACCACAA